UUUUACAAGAAUUCAAUUCAAUUGGUUUUGGUCUAUUCUCAUUUUUGGAAUGAAAGAAUUCAAUUAUUUUUAACUUAACAAAAUUUUUCAUUUUAAAAGAAAUAGAUUCAUGCAUGAUUGUGCGAGUCUUUCUUGCAAAUGAUUUAUUCCAAUGGAAGCCUUAAUGAACUUUCUCCUUCAAUGACUAUGCAAGUUCUAACAGCAUCUAGCAAAUGAUGUAGAAUAUGAAAUCCAGCUGCUAAGAGAAUAUUUCAAUAGAGCAAGAUACCCGGAAUAAUAGUACAUGAAUACAAUACAAUAAGCGCACAUUUCAAGCCUGUUGCACUGGCAGAAAUGGUUGAUGUCUGCAAUCAAAGACCGUCAAAAAACCGGAUAUGGUCUUCAAAUGUCUCCCCGUGCCGUAUUUUGGCCACUGAUCCAUCUUCUUCAACCCAGUACUCAGGAGGGCGCAUCUUCAGAUUGUAUGUUGAUGCCAUACUCAUGCAAUAAGCACCAGCAUCAUGGACAACCAAACCAGCUCUCUCAGCUGGAGUUGGAAGUUCUCUAUCCUUUCCUAAGAAAUCAGCAGAUUCACAAACAGGACCCACCACAUCAAAAGUUGAAACUUCAGCGUUAGUUGGUGCAGGAGAAACAAGUUCUAUGUGUUGAUAUGCACCAUAAAGACUAGGACGAAUAAGUUCAGCCAUGCUACCAUCAAUCACAAUAAAAUUUUUAGUUCCAUUAGUUUUCACCCCAGUGACCCUGUUGACCAGGCAGCAGGUAUUUGCAAUUAGUGAUCUCCCUGGUUCAAUGAUGAGAUUUAGAUUCCGUGAGAGUACCAAUUCUCGAACAGUAUUGAUGAGAUCUCUUGGUGAAGGAAGGAUAGCACCAGUAUGAUAAUAAUCUAUGCCCAAACCACCUCCAAUGUUUAGGUAAUCAACUUCAAAACCUUGUGCACGAAUUUGGUCAAUGUAGUUGAACAUGAGAACUGCAGCAUCCCUGAAAAUGUCCACCUUGGUAAUGGUUGAGCCAAGAUGGCAAUGGGCCCCCACAAGCUUCAGCUCAUUAGGAUGUGCCUUUACAGCAUCAAGAAACCAUUGCAGCUUCUCAUUUCUGAUGCCAAAUUUAGAGUUCUUAUUCCCAGUGGCAACAUAAGGAUGAACCUGAGGGUCCACAUCUGGAUUGAUUCGAAGUAAAACAUUAACCUUUUUGCCAGCAAUUCUAGCAGCUGCUACAAUAUUCUCUAAAUCAAAUUCACUAUCCACAUUAACAAAGACACCUUCUUGGGCAGCUAACACCAAAUCCUCCAGCAGCUUCCCAUUUCCAUUAAAAAUGCACCUUGCGGGAUCGAAUCCAGCAUGAAGAGCCAACCUGAGCUCAUUGCCACUAACCAGCACAGCUCCACAACCCAAUUGCCUCAAGUGCUCCAAAAUCUUCAAAUUAUUAUUAGCCUUAAUUGCAUACCCAAUAAUGGAUCUCAAUCCCUCUAAAGCAUCUCUGUAAGCCUCAAAAUUCCGAGUAAUCUGAGGCUUACUGUACAAAUAAAAGGGUCUUUUCUCAACAUUCUCCAUGAUAUCCUGCACCUUGAGUUUCUCACAAUAGAGGAAGCCAUCAGGAGAUUUUGUAAAACAAUGCUUAAACGGCGCAGUUUCUUUGGUUACGGUAUUAGCAGGGUUCUGGGACAAAACUGCUUUGAGAGACAGAGACUUUACAAAGGAUUUGUUGCUUCUAACGGUUAAAAGAGGAGUUUUAAGAAAUAGGUUUUGACUCAAAGGAAAAGUUACGGUUUUGGCGAGAGAGGGUGGAUGGGAGAGGUGGGUAGUGGCGGCCAUUGAUGAACAAGUAGAGCAAAGAAAGAGAGACUGAGAGAGUGUCUAGACUGGAGGGCUUAAGAAAACUAAACUGCAGGGUCAAAUGAAAAACGUCUAUAUU
rnacentral:misc_RNA from 1 species